GGGAAACUGGGUAUAAUACCCGAUAGGUCUCGAUUGCUGGAAUGCAUCGAGGUCGAAAGGUCCGCCGCCAUAGGAUGGGUCUGCGGCCGAUUAGGUUGUUGUUGGGGUAACGGCCCAACAAGCCUGUAAUCGGUACGGGUUGUGGGAGCAAGAGCCCGGAGAUGGAUUCUGAGACACGGAUCCAGGCCCUACGGGGCGCAGCAGGCGCGAAAACUUUACAAUGCGGGAAACCGUGAUAGGGGAACUCCGAGUGCCCGUUAAAUCGGGCUGUCCAUCGGUUUAAAUAACCGGUGAAGAAAGGGCCGGGCAAGACCGGUGCCAGCCGCCGCGGUAAUACCGGCGGCUCGAGUGGUGGCCACUAUUACUGGGCUUAAAGCGUUCGUAGCUGGUUUGUUAAGUCUCUGGGGAAAUCUUCCGGCUUAACCGGAAGGCGUCUCAGGGAUACUGGCAGACUAGGGACCGGGAGAGGUGAGGGGUACUCCAGGGGUAGGAGUGAAAUCCUGUAAUCCUUGGGGGACCACCUGUGGCGAAGGCGCCUCACCAGAACGGCUCCGACAGUGAGGGACGAAAGCUGGGGGAGCAAACCGGAUUAGAUACCCCGGGUAGUUUCCAGCCGUAAACGAUACUCGCUAGGUGUCGGACCCGGUGCGACCGUUGUCGGUGCCGUAGGGAAGCCGUGAAGCGAGCCACCUGGGAAGUACCGCCUGGAGGCUGAAACUUAAAGGAAUUGGCGGGGGAGCAC
rnacentral:rRNA from 1 species